GAUAUCAUAGCGGAGGAAAGGCGGGCUGGAUUCUCUCGGGGUUACAGCCUUGCUGAAUUAUUCCCCCUUGUCUUUUGCGUACUUCUUGUUUCCUUGGUGGGUUCGCCCACCACUAGGACAAACAUAAACCUUUUGUAAUUGCAAUCAGCGUCAGUAACAAAUUAAUAAUUACAACUUUCAACAACGGAUCUCUUGGUUCUGGCAUCGAUGAAGAACGCAGCGAAAUGCGAUAAGUAGUGUGAAUUGCAGAAUUCAGUGAAUCAUCGAAUCUUUGAACGCACAUUGCGCCCUUUGGUAUUCCAAAGGGCAUGCCUGUUCGAGCGUCAUUUGUACCCUCAAGCUUUGCUUGGUGUUGGGCGUCUUGUCUCUAGCUUUGCUGGAGACUCGCCUUAAAGUAAUUGGCAGCCGGCCUACUGGUUUCGGAGCGCAGCACAAGUCGCACUCUCUAUCAGCAAAGGUCUAGCAUCCAUUAAGCCUUUUUUUCAACUUUUGACCUCGGAUCAGGUAGGGAUACCCGCUGAACUUAAGCAUAUCAUU
rnacentral:rRNA from 2 species